rnacentral:lncRNA from 1 species
AGCUCUCCAUGGGAAUGUGUGGGAAGUGGCCAAGGGUUUGAGAGACAAUUAUGUCCUUGUUUAUCCUGAGGGCCUCACCUGAGCCCCCAUGGACCCUAAGGCCCAGUGAUGGGUGCCAAGCUGUUCCCACUAGAGUUGUCCUCAUAUUUCCUGCUGUAGUCCAGACUAGAACAGGCAUUGGAGGCAAUGCAUGUACGGGUUGGAGAAGUGAAUUUGGGAGUUGUUGGCAUGUGCGUGGUAUAUUUGCCUGUGGACUGGCUUCAGUUGCUUGUUGUGAUUGUAAGUAUCUUAGUGAUGGAAUAUUACUUUGAAAGGAUGCAAGCCUGAUGGACAGUUUGAAAGAAAAAAAGGCCAGAGAGAGGGCAGCAUGGUCUACAUGGAAGUCAGCUAGAAUUUUCGUAUGAAGUUAAAACCCUUGGUUUGAAUCUAUAUGUUGCUGUGGGCCAGGGAAAGAGGGGAAGAGAGCCGGGGAGCGGGAAUCAAGGGACCAAUGGCUUCUGACUGCACAGCCUUGGACGUGCACUUUUUGGACAUGUAACUUCUCUGAGUCUCAGUGUUUGCAUCCGUAAGUGGGGACGUACAAUAAAAUCAUCAAGUUUUGGCCUCAACAUUCUGUCUAAGUUGAAAGUGCUAAAUGCAGAGAGAAUUUAUUAUCAUCGUGUCCAUUACUGUCAGGUUACAUUACUAGUAACAUUACAUUACUAGUUAAAAUUGUUACAUUACUAGUUAAAAUUGUUAAAUUAUAUUCUGUGUCAUGUUACAUUACUAGUUAAAAUUGUUACAUUACUAGUUAAAAUUGUUAAAUUAUAUUCUGCUCAUGAUAAUACAGUUUGCAUGACCAAAAGUGUACAGCAUAAAGAAUUCCCAAUGAAGGGUUGUUGAAUUUUGUCAAAGGCCUUUUCUGCAUCUAUUGAGAUAAUCAUGUGGUUUUUGUCUUUGGUUCCGUUUAUAUGCUGGAUUACGUCUAUUGAAUGCUAAAUGACGAGUUAAUGGGUGCAGCACAUCAACAUGGCACAUGUAUACAUAUGUAACAAAUAGUUUCUUUUGCUGUGCAGAAGCUCGUUAGCUUAAUUAGGUGGCAUGAUCUCAGCUUACUGCAAUCUUUGCCUGUGAUGAGCACAGUGGAGUCAAGUUUGAGGCAGGGAUGCACUGGGACAACAGAGAGGGGCAUUGUCCAAUUCAG